CUCUCUCUCUCUCUCUCUCUCUCUCUCCUUUCUGUGCUCCUUUCUCUAUCCUCUAUCUUUUUUCUUCCUGGCUUCUGCUCCCUGAUGUACGGGCAUUAAGGCGUAUGGUAAAUGGUAAUGGGGGGGAGAGAUAGAAAGAGGGGGAGGGGUGGUUAUUAAUAGAGAGGGAUGGGAAUAGCAGAGGGGCUCAAGGCCUUCUCUUCUCUAAUGGAACGUGAAACGAGGAGACAUAAGAGUCUCUGGCCCUCUGCUCUUUUCUCUCUCUCUCUCUUCUGUCCUUCUCUCUCUACUCUGUGUCUUCUCCGCGUUGCGUCUCUCUCUCUCUCUCUCCCCUUUGUGGGGUGGCUGAUUUGCGUGAGGGAAAGAAGAUGGGGCAAGGGUUUUGUUGUUUUGUCAGGAUCUGCUGCAUUUGGAACAACUCCGAACACGUUUAUGAGGCACAGCAUCAUACCACGUAGAAGUUGAUUCUAUCUCGCGGUGCCAUUUCACUGGGUGAGGCCCGC
rnacentral:lncRNA from 1 species